UGCUACAAAGAAACAAUAAAGUACAUUCUCUGAUAUUGCUCCUCAGUGGUUAAUGACCAUGUUAAAAUCUUUAAAAGAAGAUGACCGGUGCUACUAUGUGGCCACUACGCUUGUAUCAUUAGGAGUAGUAUAUUUAGUGAAAAAGGUAUUUUCUUUUAAUAAAUCAAAAAGAGUAAA
rnacentral:misc_RNA from 1 species